rnacentral:rRNA from 1 species
AUUCCCCUAGUAACUGCGAGUGAAGCGGGAAAAGCUCAAAUUUAAAAUCUGGUGGCCUUUGGCCAUCCGAGUUGUAAUUUAGAGAAGCGUCUUCCGCGCCGGACCGUGCACAAGUCUCCUGGAAUGGAGCGUCGUAGAGGGUGAGAAUCCCGUCUUUGGCAUGGAUGACCGGGGCUUUUGUGAUGCGCUCUCGAAGAGUCGAGUUGUUUGGGAAUGCAGCUCAAAAUGGGUGGUGAACUCCAUCUAAAGCUAAAUAUUGGCGAGAGACCGAUAGCGAACAAGUACCGUGAGGGAAAGAUGAAAAGCACUUUGGAAAGAGAGUGAAACAGUACGUGAAAUUGUUGAAAGGGAAACGCUUGAAGUCAGUCGCGUCGGCCGAGACUCAGCCUUGCCUCGGCUUGGUGUACUUCUUGACCGACGGGUCAGCAUCAAUUUUGCCCCUUGGAUAAUGGCGAGGGAAAUGUGACACCUUUAUAGGUGUGUUAUAGUCUCUCGUCGCAUGCAAGGGUCGGGAUUGAGGAACUCAGCACGCGCCUUCGGGCGUCGGGGCCUUGCCCACGAUACGUGCUUAGGAUGUUGGCGUAAUGGCUUUAAACGACCCGUCUUGAAACACGGACCAAGGAGUCUAACAUGCCCGCGAGUGUUCGGGUGGAAAACCCGUGCGCGCAAUGAAAGUGAAAGUUGGGACCUCUGUCGCGGAGGGCACCGACGCCCGGACCAGAGCUUCUGCGACGGAUCUGCGGUGGAGCGUGUAUGUUAGGACCCGAAAGAUGGUGAACUAUGCCUGAAUAGGGUGAAGCCAGAGGAAACUCUGGUGGAGGCUCGUAGCGAUUCUGACGUGCAAAUCGAUCGUCAAAUUUGGGUAUAGGGGCGAAAGAC